AGGACGAACGCUGGCGGCGUGCUUAACACAUGCAAGUCGAGCGGAAAGGCCCUUCGGGGUACUCGAGCGGCGAACGGGUGAGUAACACGUGAGCAACCUGCCCUUAGCUUCGGGAUAGCUCCGGGAAACCGGAAUUAAUACCGAAUAUGACUGCGGCUGACAUCAGCCACGGUGGAAAGUUUUUCGGCUAGGGAUGGACUCGCGGCCUAUCAGCUAGUUGGUGAGGUAACGGCCCACCAAGGCGACGACGGGUAG
rnacentral:rRNA from 1 species